GUCCCUGGAGCACAAUGUAUAGCGCGUUGGACUUCUAAUCCAAAGGUAGUGGGUUCGAAUCCCACCUGGGAUG